UGAACGAUAGCCUACAGAAGACAGUCGAGGUGGUGAAAGCCAUGAAAUUUACCUCGACCGCCAUUAUUUAACAUUUAAUAACUCUGAAUCGAACAGUCCAAGAUCAUCUAUGAACUUAACACCUUUACGAAAAUAACUACUUUAAACAACACGAGAAACUUUAAUUGCAUCUAUUUGUACUUCGACCUCUGUCCGAGCAACCCGGCGACCUGUCUUCGCCCAUAUAGAUACGACGCUUGAACCCGCAUUGGUCAGGCAAAGUGUCCGGUCUUCAGCUGUCCUCCUGAUGCUCCUUGACAAAAUAAAUUGGCCGUCAGAGGACAGCAAUAGCGAAGAUGACGAUUUCGACAUUGAAACCAUUUGUCGUAUUACUGGUUUCCUGCGGACAUUCAUUGAAACAGCAUCUUCCGAUUCACUCAUACAAAUCCUGAAGUUUUGGGUGGGGUGGGAAACCAUCACCACUGAACUUAAUGUUGAGCUAUCAGAAGGACGAUUUAUAACAUCCGCUACCUGUUUCGAGACACUACGCACAAUACACACACUACACUGACUUUCAAACUGCACUUGCUGCUGCUAUUAGCAGCACUUGUACAGGAUUCCGACUUCUCUAAUACUUAAAAAAAAAACAAUUCAAUAUGUAAAAUAUAUUAAUAACAACAAUGACAACAGUGUGUUUUCAUGAAUUUACAAUAUGUUAUUUGUUUAUAAAUGAAAUGUAAUA